rnacentral:lncRNA from 1 species
UCUCCUGACCUCGUGAUCCGCCCGUCUUGGCCUCCCAAAGUGCUGGGAUUAUAAGAGUAAGCCACCGCGCCCGGCAGUCUUCAUCCUUAGAAAGCAGUUAGACAGACACCUGAGAACCAAUCCCAAACUGCAGCCUUCCACAGAACCUUCUAGAACCUUCUGGAAUGCAACUCAUUACUGCCAGAGGGUCUUGGAUGAGAGUCUACUCUCCACCAUUUGUCUUCAAAGAGAAUACCCACAUAUUCUCUUUCCAUGGAAAGAACCCAUGUGAUGCUUCCUACUUCAAGGCGCACUAGUGCCUGUCAGCUUGAAGGCAUCCCGUGAGCUGCUGGCAAACAAGGCCUUUUUACCCACAGAUUAACCUCUUAUUUGUUUUAAUAAAUGAUCAAAAGUU